rnacentral:rRNA from 1 species
UACGAGGGGUGCAAGCGUUGCUCGGAAUUAUUGGGCGUAAAGGGUAGGUAGGUGGUCUCAUUUGUCUGGGGUGAAAGCCUUGAGCUUAACUCAAGAAGUGCCUCGGAAACGGUGAGACUGGAGUCUUGGAGAGGGUUGCGGAAUUCCCGGUGUAGCGGUGAAAUGCGCAGAUAUCAGGAGGAACACCGGUGGCGAAGGCGGGUCUCUGGGCCGAUACUGACGCUGAGGAGCGAAAGCGUGGGGAGCGAACAGG